GCUCCUAUCCGCCGCCUCCUUCAGAUCUGAUUAUCGGCUCCUCUCUCCUCUCUCUCCCCUCCCUCCUCCUUCAAAUCCGACUCCAAGUGGAUUCAAGGCUAGGGUUUUCACUGAUCUCCCUCGAAGUUUUUCGUUCAUUCCUCCCUCGAAGCUCGUCGUCCCUCGAUUCUCGUCGUCGACUUUGAGAUUCGUCGACUCCUCCCUUGAAUCUCGUCGUCGACUCCGAGAUACGUCGACUCCUCCCUUGAAUCUCGUCGUCGACUCCGAGAUUCGUCGACUCCUCCCUUGAAUCUCGUCGUCGACUCCUCCCUUGAAUCUCGUCGUCGACUCCUCCCUGCUCGUCAUCCCUUGAAGCUCGUCGUCCCUCUCGGAGAUCGUCGUUUACUCCUCCCUCGACUGUCUUCCCCCUCGAGUCAUCAAGAUAUAAUUUAACUAAACGAAGCGAAUUCGAAUUUUGAAUAUUACUCGAGUCAAAUUCGAACACGAAUACGAGUAGUGCUAUUUGAGCCGAAUUUGAAUUCGAAAUAAGGCACUAAUCGUUCAGAUUCGAUUCGUUUCCACCCCUACAUUCAAAUUCCUAUAACGCAUACCGUUGGAUCUAAUGGACGGUAUUGAUUGAAAUGAGGAAAUCGGAACAAUUAUACUCUAGGGCUCUAAGUCUCAGCCGCUGCCUGCAGCUUCAGGGAGGAUGGCUCUGUUCUUUGACGAUGGAUGAUGUCGAUGGUGAUGAAAUCAAGUUCUCGGAUUGGGAGGUUUUGGAAAUAAAAAAAAAGAUAGUUGAAGUGUACGGGCUUCAACAACAAAAAUUAUUACCAUUCUGUGCAGAGUGUAAUAGACCUAUGAAUUUCUUCUUGAUGACAUUGGCUGAGGCACAAGAACGGAAAAAAUUGCCUAUACGACAAGAGAAGAUUCGAAGCUUCGAAAUCAGAGAAAAUUUAAUGAAGUCGCUGGAGAGCAAGGAAUCUGAAAGUGUUAGAUUUAAAGAGUGUUUGGAUUGUAAAUAUUUUGUACCAUGCUAGAAAAAAUUGCCUAUACAACAAGAGAAGAUACGAAGUUUCGAAAUCAAAGAAGAUUUAAUGAAGUCGCUGGAGAGCAUGGAAUCUGAAGGUGUUACAUUUAAAGAGUGUUUGAAUUGUAAAUAUUUUGUACCAUGCUAGGAUCAUUUUAUACCACGGAUAAUAUAGUUGACUUACUCUGAUUAGAAGAACAAUUUUUUUUUCUCCUCUUUUAUACCAUGCUAGGAUCAUUUUAUACCAUGGAUGCGAUCAAUUUUUAGUCUGACCAUAUGUACCUAGACUUGGAGAUGUUCUAAACAGUAAAAGAUUAAAUGAGAUCUCUUUUGUCUUUUGGCUAA